AAAAAAGCGGAGGAAAAGAAACCAACAGGGAUUGCCUCAGUAACGGCGAGUGAAGCGGCAACAGCUCAAAUUUGAAAUCUGGCUCUUUUAGGGUCCGAGUUGUAAUUUGUAGAAGAUGCUUCGGGUGUGGCUCCGGUCUAAGUUCCUUGGAACAGGACGUCAUAGAGGGUGAGAAUCCCGUACGUGACCGGUGGCCUUCGCCCAUGUGAAGCUCUUUCGACGAGUCGAGUUGUUUGGGAAUGCAGCUCAAAAUGGGUGGUAUAUUUCAUCUAAAGCUAAAUAUUGGCCAGAGACCGAUAGCGCACAAGUAGAGUGAUCGAAAGAUGAAAAGCACUUUGGAAAGAGAGUUAAACAGUACGUGAAAUUGUUGAAAGGGAAGCGCUUGCAAUCAGACUUGCACGCCGUCGAUCAUCCGAGGUUUUCCCCGGUGCACUCGGCGGUGUUCAGGCCAGCAUCGGUCUGGGUGGUUGGAUAAAGGCCCCAGGAAUGUGGCUCCCUUCGGGGAGUGUUAUAGCCUGGGGUGCAAUGCAGCCUAUCCGGACCGAGGACCGCGCUCGGCUAGGAUGCUGGCGAUUGGCCC
rnacentral:rRNA from 1 species